ACCAAACCCACUGCUAUAUAAAGGCAGUCCCAGAAUUCAAAGCGAGUUUUUGCUCGUGUGUCUUCGUCAGCGAACAAGGAUGCUUUUGAAAAAGCAGAAUAGCACCAGCAUUCGAGAAGCAUGGCCCCUCCAGUGACUAUCCCAUCCAAAGCCAUGAAUAUCCUGCUCCCUAUUUGACACCUCUGUUUGGCUGUCUCGCAGGCUCUUCAAAUUCAGUAUGGACCAAGUACGCGAGCCUCUCACUGUUGUGGCCUUUCCUGUUGCGGAGCACAGGCUCCGGACGCGCAGGCUCAGCGGCCAUGGCUCAUGGGCCCAGCCGCUCCGCGGCAUGUGGGAUCUUCCCGGACCGGGGCACAAACCCCUGUCCCCUGCAUCGGCAGGCAGACUCUCAACCACUGCACCACCAGGGAAGCCCGCGUGAAGGAUUCUUAAGGUUAAGGAGCAAAGCCUCAAAUCACAUCAUCAAAUUUCACAAACACCAGGAACUUCACUGCAACCACUGGUAGCUCAUUCACCAGAGCUGCUUCUGCCUCCGAAACUCAAACUUGCAAACACUAGAAAAACACAACUACUGCUGCUCCUGUCACCUGUCCCAGCAAACAUGGAAGCCCCAUUUACAGUAUCCUAAUCAAAUAUACCUUAACUGCAAAGGAAGCUUGGAACUUGAAUUCUGACAUCUCCCUUGGGAACGGAUGAAUUAUUUUGUGGGAAAAAUUAAAGAGAAUAACUAAACGGAUGACAGAAGAAAUAUACCAAAGAGAAAAAAAGAGAUUGCAACUCUAAUUCACUCAUGAUUAGAAAGAUAUUAACUCCAUGGAGAGGCAGAAUUGGCAAAUAUGAUAGCAAUAAAAGGUAUCAUUAGUUUAGCAUCUAUUAUGUGCCAAGCACUAUAUAUACACCAUCUCUAAACUUUGUAAAAACCCCGUAUGGCAGGUAUUACUAUACUCAUGUUAUAAAAAACAAAACUGGAGUCCGAGAAGUUAAACAUGGUCAGUGUCACACAGCAGCAGAUCUGACUGACUCCUUACCCUCUCCAUGUUGCUGCUUUCAGAAUGUCACCAAACAAAGCAGCUGAAAUUAGGUUCACAUUUCUAUGUGAAUAAUUAGUAAAUGUAUUAGAAGUUUACUUACGUUCAGUUUUCUUGGAAGAAUGGUUUUCGUUCUGAAAUCCCAGUCAGUGCCAUGUGCCCAGGUAACUGCUAGUGACCAAGAGCUCAGGAAAGGUGUCCACUCAGAGCUGGUCACAGAGUGGGCAAUGUUGGACAGGUGACAAUAGACAUGGAGGAUCAAGAGGUGCUAUCUGGCUUCGGGAACACUGUGGAGUUCACCUUCCUGAGGAUGGGAAGGCUGGAUCAGGCCAUCACCCCACUGUUUAGCUCCUCACCUGGUGGAGCCUGCCAGAGGCCCUGAUGAUGACACACAGGAAGAAGAACACUGCCCAUUUUUUUAAACUUCCAACACGUGUAUCAUUAGAACAUCGUAUACAUUUUACCUUGUGCACUGCCAUUCAGUGUUCUGCCAAAGACUUAAAAGACAUUCUUCUGGGCUGAGCCUGCGCGUCCAGAGCCUGUGCUCCGCAACGGGAGAGGCCACAACAGUGAGAGGCCCGCGUACCGCAAAAAAAAAAAAAAAAAAAAAGACAUUCUUCUUUGUUU